GAUGAAGAACGUAGCGAAAUGCGAUAAGUAAUGUGAAUUGCAGAAUUCAGUGAAUCAUCGAAUCUUUGAACGCACAUUGCGCCCUCUGGUAUUCCGGGGGGCAUGCCUGUUCGAGCGUCAUUACAACCCUCAAGCUUUGCUUGGUAUUGGACAUUGCCAGUUUCUGGCAGGUCUUAAAAUCAGUGGCGGUGCCAUUUGGCUUCAAGCGUAGUAAUUCUUCUCGCUUUGGAGAUCCAGGUGGUUACUUGCCAAUAACCCCCAAUUUUUUCGGGUUGACCUCGGAUCAGGUAGGGAUACCCGCUGAACUUAAGCAUAUCAAUAAGCGGAGGA
rnacentral:misc_RNA from 1 species